ACCCGCUGAACUUAAGCAUAUCAAUAAGCGGAGGAAAAGAAACUAACAAGGAUUCCCCUAGUAACUGCGAGUGAAGCGGGAAAAGCUCAAAUUUGAAAUCUGGUAGUCAUUGGCUGCCCGAGUUGUAAUCUAGAGAAGCGUUAUCCGCGCUGGACCGUGUAUAAGUCUCCUGGAAUGGAGCGUCACAGAGGGUGAGAAUCCCGUCUUUGACACGGACUGCCAGGGCUUUGUGAUGCGCUCUCGAAGAGUCGAGUUGUUUGGGAAUGCAGCUCUAAAUGGGUGGUAAAUUCCAUCUAAAGCUAAAUAUUGGCGAGAGACCGAUAGCGAACAAGUACCGUGAGGGAAAGAUGAAAGGAACUUUGGAAAGAGAGUUAAACAGUACGUGAAAUUGUUGAAAGGGAAACGCUUGAAGUCAGUCGCGUUGGCCAGCAAUCAGCCUUGCUUUUUGCUUGGUGUAUUUACUGGUUUAACGGGUCAGCAUCAAUUUUGACCGGUGGAAAAAGGUCAGGGGAAUGUGGCAUCUUUGGAUGUGUUAUAGCCCCUGGUUGUAUACAUCGGUUGGGAUUGAGGAACUCAGCACGCCGCAAGGUCGGGUUUUAACCACGUUCGUGCUUAGGAUGCUGGCAAAAUGGCUUUAAUCGACCCGUCUUGAAACACGG
rnacentral:rRNA from 1 species